GAUGAACGCUGGCGGCGUGCCUAAUACAUGCAAGUCGAGCGAACGGACGAGAAGCUUGCUUCUCUGAUGUUAGCGGCGGACGGGUGAGUAACACGUGGAUAACCUACCUAUAAGACUGGGAUAACUUCGGGAAACCGGAGCUAAUACCGGAUAAUAUUUUGAACCGCAUGGUUCAAAAGUGAAAGACGGUCUUGCUGUCACUUCUAGAUGGAUCCGCGCUGCAUUAGCUAGUUGGUAAGGUAACGGCUUACCAAGGCAACGAUGCAUAGCCGACCUGAGAGGGUGAUCGCGCACACUGGAACUGAGACACGGUCCAGACUCCGACGGGAGGCAGCAGUAGGUAAGCGUCCGCAAUGGGCGAAAGCCUGACGGAGCAACGCCGCGUGAGUGAUGAAGGGCCUCGGAUCGGAAAACUCUGUUAUGAGGGAAGAACAUAUGUGUAAGUAACUGUGCACAUCGUGACGGUACCUAAUCAGAAAGCCACGGCUAACUACGUG
rnacentral:rRNA from 1 species